rnacentral:rRNA from 1 species
CCUACGGGCGGCAGCAGUGGGGAAUAUUGGACAAUGGGCGAAAGCCUGAUCCAGCCAUGCCGCGUGUGUGAAGAAGGCCUUCGGGUUGUAAAGCACUUUCAGUGGGGAAGAAAGCCUUGGGGCUAAUACCCUCGAGGAAGGACAUCACCCACAGAAGAAGCACCGGCUAACUCCGUGCCAGCAGCCGCGGUAAUACGGAGGGUGCGAGCGUUAUUCGGAAUUACUGGGCGUAAAGCGCGCGUAGGCGGUCUGAUAAGCCGGUUGUGAAAGCCCCGGGCUCAACCUGGGAACGGCAUCCGGAACUGUCAGGCUAGAGUGCAGGAGAGGAAGGUAGAAUUCCCGGUGUAGCGGUGAAAUGCGUAGAGAUCGGGAGGAAUACCAGUGGCGAAGGCGGCCUUCUGGACUGACACUGACGCUGAGGUGCGAAAGCGUGGGUAGCAAACAGGAUUAGAUACCCGAGUAGUC